rnacentral:rRNA from 1 species
AACGAACGCUGGCGGCAUGCCUAACACAUGCAAGUCGAACGAGACCUUCGGGUCUAGUGGCGCACGGGUGCGUAACGCGUGGGAACCUGCCCUUAGGUUCGGAAUAACUCCCCGAAAGGUGUGCUAAUACCGGUUAAUGUCUUCGGACCAAAGAUUUAUCGCCUUUGUAUGGGCCCGCGUUGGAUUAGAUAGUUGGUAGGGUAAAAGCCUACCAAGGGGACGAUCCAUAGCUGGUCUGAGAGGAUGAUCAGCCAAACUGGGACUGAGACACGGCCCAGACUACUACGGGAGGAAGAAGUGGGGAAUAUUGGAAAAGGGGCGAAAGCAUGAUCAAGCAAUGACGCGUGAGUGAUGAAGGCCUUAGGGUUGUAAAGCUCUUUUAACCGGGAUGAUAAUGACAGUACCGGGAGAAUAAGCACCGGCUAACUCCGUG